GGCGGUAGAUAGAUGGUCGCUCUCUCUGGACUUCUCAGAGAGGGAGGAAAGUCCGGACUCCGAUUGCCAGUACAGCCUGCCAAUCGCAGGCCACUCUGAGAAUCUCUCAGAGGAGGAUGAGAGCCACAGAGACGAGUAUCCUUGAGUAUCCUCAAGGGGAGGUGAAACGCGGCAAUCUCUGUACGGAGAAAGAUCAAAUAGGAGACAAAACAAAAGCAUCUGCUUUUGGCGAAGUGGCAAUCUUCGUCCUGCAAAAGGAUAAGUCUCGGGUAGAUCGUUUAAUUCCGGUAGCAAUACCGGAAGAAGAGAAAUGACCAUCUGAAUACAGAAUCCGGCUUAUUAUCUACCGCCUCUU
rnacentral:RNase_P_RNA from 1 species